UGUUUGCGUUAGCGAUUGAAACGGCAUCCUUUUUAGAGGUACGAGAAAAAGAUAUAGUGGAAAGCGCGACCUUUU
rnacentral:sRNA from 1 species